rnacentral:snoRNA from 1 species
CAGUAGUGAUGAGCUUACACUUCAUUGGUCCGUGUUUCUGAAACACAUGAUUGUUCCUGGGUGUUCUGAUGCU